UUGUUGAGCCUUGGGUGGACAGGGGAGGCUCUGUCCGUUCGGCGUCUGUUUGAUGCUCUCGAACCGGCCAAAAGGAUCGGGCUCGGGGCGUGACAGAUAAGAUGGUAUCAGAGCAUAAAAUUAGCCAAAAGUGAAAGCAUAGGAUGAACCUAGAGGCUCUUAGGAAUGAAAAACCUUAAGGAUCUAGAAAACGUGAGUGGCAUGCAAUUGGAAAUUUAUGGAUCUUGGUAUUGGAUUUAUGCAUCAUGGUUUUCUACCCCUCGAGAUAGUCGAUUUUCAGAAUGAGGUUUUCGAGUGGGAAACAAUUUAAAAGAUUUUCGAAUAGUUUUAUGGAUGAUUAAAUAGAGUUUAAAAUCAAAGCUUCCGGAUGGGGAGCAUUUUUAAAUAGGAUGACUGUUGUACUGUGCAUCACAUUAUCUAACGCCUAAGAAGUAUUUAGAGGUAUACAUUAUCUCUAAGGAUCAAUAGCUAUAUGGAAAUGCAUCGCAUGGAUUGUUUGUGGAUUUGUGAAUGUAGACUGUGGUUGUGAUCCUGAUGUAGCUGUUGGUACGUUGUGCAAAUACAAAUGAGACUCUAUCCAAGUGGACAGAGGAACUUUGUAUUUGUGGUGGGUCUGUACAUCACGUGGGCCAGGUUGAAUUAAAAAAAAAAGGCACGUUUUCCAUAACUCUGAUCUCAAAAAUAGUAUUCAUUAUAAAAAAAACUUUUAAAAUCG
rnacentral:lncRNA from 1 species